CCUUAAAACAGAAAUUCGUCCCUACUCAGUGCUUGUAGUUCUACGGACGUCUGCUUCACCAGGAUUCAACGAUCAAGUUAGAAUUCCAGCACCGGAAAACUUAACUUGUGGCGAACUUCUGUGUGGUUCUCUCAGAAAGGAUGUUUGAGAUUGUAGAAGAAGAAUAUUGAUUUUCUGUGUCCUAAAUGCCAUGCAGAUGGAUGUAUAUAUAAUAGAAGGAUGCCUGUUCGCAACAGGUAUGAUAAUGAGAUGUGUCUGUUGGGAGACAUCUUCUCCAGAUGGGUGCUUUGCUCUGUGUUCUUUCUGAACUCUUCAGACUUCAUCUGAAAGGAUGAGUCUAUUGGUAAAAAAUAAAUAAUUAAUUAAAUUCGAAAUCAAUUAAAAAUAAUUAAUUAAAUCCGAAAAUAAUUAAUUAAAUAAUUUAAUUAUUAAAGCCCGAGCCCCAAGGCCCAAGGCCCAUCUUUUGAUAAUUAUAUUAAUUAUAUAUAUAUAUAUAUAUUAAUUAUAAUUAAUUAAUUAGUGCACCCCAAAGCCCAACCCCAAGGAUGAGCUCAAUUUUAUUCUCCAGGCCUAUUACUCCAAUCACUUUCUAUAAAGGAUAAAGCCUUAUAAAGUGAUAAAAUCUUUUGGGAAUGGCUAAUGUGGGACAAAGAAAUUUCUACUCAAACUAUUCAAAUUUCCAACAAUACCCCACAUUUGAGUUGAAAUUUCAUUCAAACUCCAACAAUUACCCCACAUUUGAAUGCAAAUGUAAAUGCAAAUGGAUGACUAGGCUGCCUAAGAAUGAGAGAGAAUAGACAUGAUAUGCAUCGAGUGAAGUGUCUUUUGGACUUGAACUUACCCUAGUGAAAACAUAUUGGGUUUACUUGGUGAUGCAGUGGAUGUGGAAGAUCUUGAACUGUCCACCGCAGUAGUAAACCGAGACAAUAUGUUACACACAUAUCAUGUUUGCCACACGUAAAUUCAUACGGUUAUGUUCAUUUUGGCCCUAAACAGAUCCCGGAUUUCGUAGGAGCUUUAGAAUUUAGCCAUGUCAAUUCUCAUAAAUGUGGCCCCAUUUGCUCCUAUAUAAGUGACAUUAAUUAAGAAUAGUCUGCCAUAUUCCUCUUGAUAACAAGAUAUUAAUGUCAUUAAAUGUAUAAAACAUAACCCCUCAAACGUCAACAGACAACACACAUUUUAUCAUAAGAAUGGGUAAGUUGUGUAUUCAACUUUGGAAUCAAACUCAACCAGUUUGCCUAUUGAACCUAGACCAUGGGAUCUCCAAUCAGCUAGGUUAGGUUUCCGCCCAGUUCGAUUCAUUGAAUUGGCUUAAGACCCAUUCCCCUCGAUGUAAAUAAUAUUUGCUCUUUUGGUAGGCCUUUUUGAUCGGAUCAUAUUUAUAUAUAUUUUUACUUCGAAUUCACUCGUCUUUUCUUAGUUAGUUCCUUAUAUUUUUGAGCUAUUUACGUUAUUUUUGUGUUUAUAGGAUCUGUUAUGCAAAGAAAAUAAAAAUAGCACAAAUGAGUUUAAAUAAUAAACUGAAAGAAUAUUGGUUUUAUUUUUGGAUUGGGUUUUAUUUUGGUUUAUUUUGGUUUAUUUUAUAUGCAUUGAAUUGAUUGUUUCAUAGAAUAUUGGUUUUGGAUUUGUUACUUGAAUCUGCUAAUUAUAUUUGAAUUGAUAUAAUAAUGACUUUAGUUACUAUGGUUGCAUUUCUGUUGGUCUAUUGUUUCACAUUUAUAUUUGAGUAGGUGUGUAAAUGUGUGCAUGUAUUUGAAGUAGAUGAAAAUCAUGGUAUUGUUUGUGGCUUUUGUGUAGAAAAAAUCCCUUAUAUUGAAUCUGGUGAGUAUGUGGCCUAUAAUAACGAAAAGGAGAAAACAAGUGGAGACAGCUACGGAAAAGAAACGAAAAAGGCAGAAAACGGGGGACAUGCGGGGGGAAAGAAGAAGUGAAGCAUGAGCCUCGGGGAUGGAAUAAAAAUUAAAAGGCGGAAAGGAAAUUAGGCAGCUGGAGGAAAAGAGGGACACGGCAUAAUUAAGCAGGGAAUAAAAUAUGAAGACAGAAAGGAAUCCAGGGUGGAAACGUGAGGAGUGGAAAGCAGGUGUGAACGGGGGAGCUGCCUUGGGAGCAGCUCGCAGAGACGCAAGGGAGAUAGCUGCUUUGCAGUACUGGGAGAAGGUCAGGGGCUGCCAUUUGGCAGCUUGAGCAAGGACUGGUCAGCAAGUCAGUAACGAGAGGGAGAGAAUAAGUGCUGCCUUUGGCAGCGAGAGACUGGCGCAGCCAGAGGUUAGUCAAAGUGGGCAGCGGAAGAGAAUAAAAGAGAAUAGAGGGAAGAAGACUGGCGGGGAGACACAGGAAGAAGGUCAGGCAGGAAGAGUGGAGAAAGACUGACAGUGUGGGCACGAACGCAGCAGAUUCUCUCGGUUUAAUCUUUCCAAACUUCUAUUUUAUUUCUAUUUUAAUAAUGUGUAAAUAAACUUAUUUUGGCUAGAGGUUAAUUCAAAGCCAUGAAUAUAUUUGUAAUUUGAAUUGAUUAUCUUCAGUUGUGAUUUCUGAGUUGUGAUUUAAUUUGCUUAACUGCUUGAUUGAUAACUUAUUUUUGUAUGUCGAUUAAGGAUGCAUACUUAAUUUACAUGCAUGAAUUUGAUGCUAGAAUAUAAGGGAGUUUCACCUAAUCGUUAUGAACUUAUAUUCACAGGUAGUGAAGGUUGCUAGUCACAAUCACGUUAAGUAAAUUCUUGGCAUAAGUUUCAUGCAAAUCAUAGUAACGAGUGCCUCGUCAAUGCUUAUGUUUUUCAUAGAACUUAAUGAUUCUUGCUUGUAUCUCUAUUAUGCAAUUCAUGUAGGGAACUUGUAGGGAAUGUUUUGGGUUGUCGUAUGCAAUCAUCCAACCCAAUAACUUGUGGAAAAACUGAGGGUUAAUUAGUGCAAUUCACGGUUAAUUUGGGGCGUUGAGAUUUACAAUUUAUUGAAAGAACAACUGAAAAAUCAAUUUAGGUUGCAUAUGUGUCAUGUGUGGAGAAGAACCCUCUAGCUAGUCCGUCACCUAUCCUUUCACCUUAAUUUCAUGUUUUUGUCAAUUCUGUAAUUUAUUUAAGUUUAAUUUACUUCUCGUCAAAACCAAACUACCCCCAUUAUUAAAUUAUUUUAUUUAGUUAGUUUUCAUUGUUGUUAGUCUUUUAAUUCAAUUUCCGUCCAUUUCAGUUCCUAGUGUCUAAUUUGAUUGUUUUCAUUAUUUUGAGUCAUUCUAAGUGUGUUUCGAGUUAUUAGAGUUUUUAGCCUAGUUUUGUGUCCUUGAGUCUUGUUUAAUAUUUUUAAAUUAAUUUAGGAUAGAUUAGCAAUCCCUCCUAAUCCCCGGCCUAGAACGAUACCCUACUUACAUCUAUACUACAAUUGUCAAAAAGAGGGUUUAAUUUGUGUGUCAAGUAAUUCUCGCAUCACUUUUGUCAAAGGAUCAUCUAUAUUUUCCGUUGACUUUACAUAAUCAAUGAAUAUUAUUCCAUUGGAGAGCAACUUCUUAAAAGUAUUAUGUCGACGCUUGAUGACGUAACUUCCCAUUGUAUACAUGACUUUUGGCCCUUGAUUGCGCGGUCAUACUAUCACAAUGUAUACAUAUAGCCGUUACCGGCUUUGGCCACAUUGGAAUAUCCUCCAGAAAAUUGUUGAGCCACUCGGCUUCUUCGCUAGCCAAGUCUAAAGCUAUAAACUUGGACUCCAUGGUGGACCGAGCUAUACAUUUCUGUUUAGAGGAUUUCCAAGAUAUUGCUGAACCUCCCAAGGUAAAAACAUAUCCACUUGUCGACUUGAAUUCUGUAGUGUUAGAAAUCCAAUUGGCAUCACUGAAGCCUUCUACAACAGGUGGAUAUUUUGUGUAGUGUAAUCCGUAGUCAAGUGUAUUUUUCAAAUACCUUAACACUCGUACUAAAGCAUCCCAAUGCUCUUGUGCCAAAUUACUUGUAUAUCUACUAAGCCUACUUACUGCAUAAGCUAAGUCAGGCCUAGUUGAAUUCAUCAAGUACAUUAGACUUCCAAUUACUUGAGAAUAUUCAAGUUGAGAUAUGGCAUCGCCUUUAUUUUUCUCCAACUUGCAUCCAACAUCAAAAGGAGUUGCAGUAGGUUUGCAGUCAAAUUGACCAAACCUUCGUAAUAUUUUUUCUGCAUAAUGGGAUUGUGUAAGGACAUAUCAUUCACUAUUUCUCUUAAUUUGAAUUUCUAAAAUGACAUCGGCUUGACCUAAGUCUUUCAUGUCAAAACUGGAAUUCAACAUUUUCUUUGUUUUGUUUAUUACAUUUUUAUUGCUUCCCAUUAUGAGCAUAUCAUCCACAUACAAGCAGACAAUAACACAAGUUUUAUCAUUACUCUUAAUGUAAACACAUUUAUCAGAUUCAUUUAUUUUGAACCCAUGUGUCAACAAAGUAUGAUCAAAUUUCUCGUGCCAUUGUUUUGGUGCUUGUUUAAGUCCAUAUAAUGACUUAACUAAUUUGCACACUUUGCUUUCUUGUCAUUUAAGCACAAACCCUUCAAGUUGUUCCAUGUAUAUUUCUUCAUCUAGUUCUCCAUUUAAAAAUGCUGUUUUGACAUCCAUUUGAUGUAUAUCAAAGUUGUAUACAGCCGCAAUCGCUAUUAACAUCCUAAUCGACGUUAUGCGAGAAACUGGAGAAUAGGUGUCGAAAUAAUCCAACCCUUCUUUUUGGCGAUAACCUUUGGCUACUAAACGUGCCUUGAACUUAUCAAUGGUUCCAUCCGCCUUAAGUUUCUUCUUGAAAAUCCAUUUAUGACCAAUUGGUUUACUACCGGGAGGUAAAUCAACCGAUUCCCAUGUGUUAUUUUCCAUAAUGGAUUCCAUUUCACUUUUAAUUGCUGCCUUCCAUAAAGGAGCCUUAGAAGAAGACAUUACUUCUUUAAAAGUUCUAGGGUCAUUCUCGGACAAGAAAGCAAUGAAAUCUGGUCCAAAAUUUUUAAAAACUUUGAUUCUUUUUCCUCUUCUUGGUUCCACAUCAUUUCCUUGGACACCAGAAGAAGAGGCUUUAUCAUGACUAUGAUCAUGAACCCUCUUGGUAUUAGAACCAGAUUCAUUUUCUUUGUAAGGGAAUAUAUCCUCAAAGAAUUUUGCAUCUGCUGAUUCUAAUAUAGUGUUGACAUGUAUGUCAGAAAUCGAAGAUUUUACAACAAGAACCUAUAAGCAGCACUAUUAUUUGCAUAUCCAAUGAAUACGCAAUCAAUAGUUUUAGGUCCUAGUUUCGUUCUUUUUGGUAACGGAACUUGCACCUUUGCUAAGCAACCUCACACUUUGAGGGUUUUAUAAGUGGGUCUAUGUCUUUUCCAUAGUUCAUAAGGUGACUCGUCAAUCUUCUUUAGAGGAACCUUAUUCAAUAUGGUAUUUGCAGUAAGUAAAACUUCACCCCACAAACUGUGUGGAAGCCCUGAACUAUUUAACAUGGAAUUAAUCAUAUCUUUGAAUGUUCUAUUUUUUCUUUCGGCAACACCAUUUUGUUGUGGUGUGUAUGGAGCCGUUGUUUGAUGUAUAAUUCCAUGUUGUGCACAAAAAUUUGAGAAGGCAGUAGACUCAUACUCUCCUCCUCUAUCGGAUCUAAGUGCUUUGAUUUUUCUCUCAAGUUGAUUUUCAACUUCGGCUUUAUAUGUCUUAAACAUAUUUAAAGCUUCGUCAUUGCUAUGAAUCAAAUAAAUAUAGCAAUACUUACUGCAAUCAUCAAUAAAAGUGACAUAAUAAUUCUUUCCUCCACGAGUUGGUGUGGAUUUAAAGUCACAAAGAUCACUAUGAAUUAAUCCAAGUAAUUAUUUGAUCUUUCUAGAAUUAACUUUCUCGUUUGCCUAGCAAAUUUCGAUUCAGUACAUGUUUCACACUUAUGAUUAAAAUCAAUUUCGAAUUUAGGUAAUAAUUCUAAUUUAACCAUUCUAUGCAUGGAACGAAAAUUAACAUGUCCUAAUCUAGCAUGCCAAAUAUUAGAAGACUCAACAAUAUAAGUAGAAGCAUUUAUUUUAUUAGCAUCAUCAAUGGAAAUUACAUUGAGUUUCACUAGGCCAUCAGCCACAUAACCCUUUCCAACAAACAUCCCACCCUUGGUAAGUACAAAUUUGUUGGAUUCCAUUACAAGUUUAAAGCCCUUAGCAAUCAGAAUAGGUCUAGAAACCAAGUUCCUCCUUAUUUCAGGAACAUGCAGAGCACAUUCAGCAAGGUGAGACUCUUUCUAGAUGUGAAUUUGAGUACGACUUUGCCUUUGCCUUCCACCGCAAAUGAGGCAGAAUUGCCCAUGUACAGCUUUUCUCCAUGGGCAGUAUGAUGGUAUUCAGUGAAUAGAUUUUUGUCAGCGCAUAUGUGCUUAGUAGCACCGGUAUCCAACAACCAUUUCACAUUUGAGACCAUGUUGACCUCGGACACAACAGCAGCCAAUUCUUCAUUGGUGGUUGCCAUGUUAGCAUGGUUGUUGUUGUUUUCGUUGGCAUGAUUUCCAUCCUUGCGAUGAUAACAAUCUUGUGCCUUGUAACCAGAUUUGCCACACACAUAGCAUGCGCCCUUAAUCUCCUUCAGAUUCUUGCCUUUGGGAGCAAGGGCAGAUUGUACAAAUUGCUUGGUUUUAGAAGCCUUAUUCUUCUUCGGCUUGGCCUUGGAGUUUCCUCCCUCAACAUAAUUUGCAUUGGCUUGAUGAACGGUCUGCCUUUCUAUGGUCAUUUUUCACUCGUAGCCUCAGGAUCAAAUCCUCCAUAUUCAUCUCACGACGCUUGUGCUUAAGAUAAAUUUUGAAGUCAUUCCACGAAGUUGGCAAUUUUUCAAUUAUCGCCCUAACUUGGAAAUGCUCAUUGAUCUCGCAUCCCUCGGAGUGCAGUUCAUAGAUCAAUUUCUGGACUUCUUCGACCUGAGAGACAACAGAUUUUGAAUCCACCAUUGUAUAUUUAAGAAACUUACCGAUAACAAAUUUCUUUGAGCCGACAUCAUCAAUCUUAUACUUUUUCUCUAGGGAUUCCCACAACUCCUUUGCUGUCUUGCACAGAGAAUAAAUGUCGUAGAGAUUGUCAUCCAAACUAUUCAGAAUAUAAUUCCUGCAACAAAACUUGGAAUGAUUCCAAGCUUCAAUUGCUAUGACAGUCUUUUUCAUCAUUGGAUUCUCAUUAGACUUCGGAGCUUCUUCCUUGACAACAUAAGCGAGAUUCAUUGUUGUCAGGAAGAACAACAUCUUCUGUUGCCAUCUCUUGAAGUCCAGCUCUUUGAACUUCUCAGGCUUUUCAGAGUAUUUUGGCACAGCGCCAUUCACAUUUACAGAUUGUUGAUCCAUAAAUUUCUGUUUCAAGAUUGUUGGAUAUAUGUCAACAAUCUAUGAUAAAUUUAUAUAUACUAAUAAAUAAUAAAUACGAAUAAAUAUUGAAUAGAGUAUGAACAACAAAAUAAUUUAAAAAAGAAAGAUUGAAGAUCGAGGCUUGGGUACAAUAUGUCCUUGAAAUAGAAAUUCAUCCCUACUCAGUGCUUGUAGUUAUACGGAUGUCUGCUUCACCAGGAUUCAACGAUCAAGUUAGAAUUCCAGCACUAGAAAACUUAACUUCUGGCGAACUUCUAUGUGGUUAUCUCAGAAAGGAUGUUUGAAAUUGUAGAAGAAGAAUAUUGAUUUUCUGUGUCCUAAAUGCCAUGCAGAUGGAUGUUUAUAUAAUAGAAGGAUGCCUGUUCGCAACAGGUAUGAGAAUGGGAUGUGUCUGUUGGGAGACAUCUUCUCCAGAAGGGUGUUUUGCUCUGUGUUCUUUUUGA
rnacentral:lncRNA from 1 species